AUGGGGAAUUAUGCAUUUAUACACACACAGACAUCUACACCAGAAAGGCAGCUGGUGACCAGAAGUAUAGUACAUUUUGUAGGACAACACACAACUGUUUCUAACAGUUCAUUCAACAUGGCCACUGAAAUGAGAAUGGAGAUGCGACACCAUGUCAAUACACCAGCGGAUGAAGGGAGGCAAAGUUUGGAGAAGACAGAAAAUUGCUAUUCAGGGGCAAAAGUGUACAAGGUGAUUGGAGUCGGCUUCGUCCUGCUGUGCAUCAUACAGUUCGCUCUCAAUGUUUCCCUUCACCACCAAGGAAUUGGGUCUUGUAACGAGUCUGACUUUGACCACAUCAACUUUACCAAUGUCUCCCAGAUGUCACCUCGUGACAUCAUGGAUCUGCUUCAAAAGAAAAACCAAAUGGUAGAGGAAAACAGCUACCUGAACAGAGCUAUGGAGAUUUUAAAUAGCCAGCUUGACCAACAAGAAAAUCAGAUAAUAAAACUUCAAUCUCAAAGAGUAAGGAUGAUAACAAGGCUUUCUGAAACUGAACAAAAAAUCAAAAGCUGUCCCGUGGGGUGGAGGCGAUACAUGUCGAGCUGUUACCUACUUUCCUCUGAGAGAAAGGCCUGGAGAUAUGCCAACAGAGACUGUGUGGAUAAAAGAGCUCAUUUGGUGAUUUUAAAUGAUGAAGUGGAAGAGGAUAUUAUCCAAAUGUUUAGCAGUUUUACUGUGUGGAUCGGGUUGAGGAGUCAGCAAAGGGGUCCACAGAAGACAUGGACUUGGGUGGACGGAAGCUCACUGACUUAUCGGUAUGGCUUUUUGAAUGUUUCCCAAGGUGUACAUUAUUACUGCAUUACUAUUUAAAUUUCAUUGUGUAUUGAUACAUGCAUGAGCUACUGGGUCAAAGAGAAGAACACUUGUCCACUGAACUGGCGACUCCAAAUUCAGAGAAAAAGUAACAAGAAUAAUGGGCUGCUGUCAGAUGGUGAGCUUUUGAACUGCGUCUAUGCUCAACAAUUUCCAGCACAGUGGGUCCCUGCCCCCUGUGAAGAACAACACAACUGGGUAUGCGAGAGGGAGUCUAAGUGAUACACCACCUCCAUCAGACCUGAAGAGUCACACAAAAAACACCCACUUUAGCAAACAGCUACUAUUAAUCUAUGUCACACACAUUUAAAAAUCCUGUGAUGAUUCAAUGUGUUUAUUAUACCUGUGCUGGAUAUAUUUCAUGGUCUGUGUGCACUUUUAGUUACUGUAUGUCUUGUGUCUUGACUGUUUUAUGUUAAAUUUAGAGUUAAUCUGUGAUGUUGUGUUUUACUCUGACCAAUAAAGGAGACUUUCUUGCCUUUAAA